rnacentral:rRNA from 1 species
AUUCCAGCUCCAAUAGCGUAUAUUAAAGUUGUUGCAGUUAAAAAGCUCGUAGUUGGAUUUGGGACUGGAGUCGUCGGGUCGGCCGCGAGGUCUGUUACUUGGCGGCUCUGUCAUUACAAUUCCCUGGGACCUGUCGUGUGCUUCGCUGUACGCGGCACGGGACUUGGGACGUUUACUUUGAAAAAAUUAGAGUGUUCAAAGCAGGCUUUUUAAGCCCGAAUACAUGAGCAUGGAAUAAUGGAAUAGGAUAGCGGUUCUAUUUUGUUGGUUUCUACGACCGCAGUAAUGAUUAACAGGGACAGUCAGGGGCACUCGUAUUCCGCCGAGAGAGGUGAAAUUCUCAGACCAGCGGAAGACGAACCACUGCGAAAGCAUUUGCCAGGGAUGUUUUCAUUA